GCCGUGCCAACCAGCUUGAUGAAAUGUCUGAGAGCUCUGAGGAGGAGGGUCAGAUUGUGAACAAAGAAAGGGUUAGGGAAGAGAAGGGAGAGGAUGAGAGAUUGCGGCGUGGAGGAAGAGAAGAUGAAGGAGAUGGUUGGGGUGGUAGGGAUUCUCGUCCAGGGAAUAACCAGGGUGAAAGGUGGGGGAAGAAGGAGAGUCAUAGAUUGCAUCAUGGCGAUAGAUGGCAUGGAGGUGAGGAGCACGGUGACCGGAACUCUUCUUACCAUUCCCAGCACCGUGCCGUUGAUACCUAUACCUUAACUCAUCCUCAGAUUCGCUACCACUGCGCUUCCUCAUGUCAUCCUCACUCGACUCGUUGUUGCUUCUUCUAGCCAUACAAACCCUAAUUCAAUUCGACGGAAGCCAAAUCCAAAAUCGAAGAACACAGAGAAAGCACAAAUUUCAAAGACUUCACUUCGAGCACGCGAUAAAAAUAACUGCAUCGAGGGUGUUGGAGGUGCCGAGGGUGGGAAGGUUUCCUGCGUUGUCGGAGAGGGUGAGGCCGAUUUGGAUCAGGUGGAGGCGAUCCACGUUGGCUUUGAGCAUGGCGUAGUGCGCGGCGGGUUAGCGAUGGCGGAAAGAGGGGUCACAAGCGUAGGAGCGUACAUCAGAAUACCUCACAAUCCGGUUGCCAUCAUUAAAUCUGGUCCAUUUAAUAUUUUUAUUAUUAAAUCGGAUGGACCCAAAUGACUACUACCUUUUUUGUUAACUUACGUAAGGUGCGAAAGGAGUUUCACUUUUGCACCCUAGAAUUCGCUGAAAUAGAAAAGGGCACACAUCUCCAACUACUAUCUGCUAAAUAAGAAAGGGCAGCUUAUUUUGAAUUGUCAUGUAUUGCUAUUGCUUGCUGCCAACACAUAAACAUAACAAAAUGUCACUGCCAACAAGGUUAAGGUUUUCUGUCUCUCCUUCCAUUCCCAAUUUUUCCUCUUUUCUUUGAAACUCCUUACAUUCUCACUUUCAUUCUCAGCCCCCAUCCAUUUAAAAUGUUGACGAUGCCGUUUCCCAAUUCAAUCGCAUGCUGUGUAUGUGUCAUACCCCACCCAUCAUCCAAUUUAACAAGAUUUUAGAUUCCUUUGCGAAGAUGAAGCACUAUUCCACUGCUGUUUCCCUUUCUCACCGAUUGGAACUCAAGGGAAUUCAGCCUGACCUUUUUACUUUGAAUAUUCUCAUUAAUUGUUUCUGUCAUAUGGGUCAAAUUACUUUCAAUUUCUCUAUAUUGGCCAAGAUUCUCAAGAGGGGUUACCAUCCCGACACCAUAACCUUCACAACACUGAUCAACGGUCUGUGCCUUAAAGGACAAGUCAACAAAGCACUGCACUUUCACGAUAAGCUAUUAGCACAAGGAUUUCAACUCAACCAAGUUAGUUAUGGGACUUUGAUCAAUGGAGUAUGCAAGAUAGGAGACACAAGAGCUGCCAUCAAGUUGCUGAGAAAGAUUGAUGGACGACUGACUAAACCUGACGUGGUAAUGUACAACACAAUUAUUGAUGCCCUGUGCAAACAUCAACUUGUAAGUAAGGCUUAUGGUUUAUUUUUUGAAAUGAAUGUCAAGGGAAUUUCUGCUGAUGUUGUCACUUAUAAUACUCUAAUAUAUGGCUUUUGCAUCGUGGGUAAGUUGAAAGAAGCAAUUGGUUUGUUAAAUAAAAUGGUAUUGAAAACUAUCAACCCAAAUGUCCGUACCUAUAAUAUACUGGUUGAUGCAUUAUGUAAAGAAGGAAAGGUGAAAGAAGCCAAAAAUUUUUUAGCUGUCACGCUGAAAGCAUGUGUGAAAUACUUUAUUGGAUGGGUAUGUCUUAUUUAUAAAGUGAAGAAGGCAAAGCAUGUAUUGAAGAAUGUUAUUACUUAUAACGGAUUUUGUAAGAUUAAUUAAAAGGCUAUCAUGUAGAUAUCUGCACAUAUAAUUAUUGGAGAGAUUCGAGGGGUACACCUGUGGACCACGAACCACCACAUAAGGAAGCCUGACACCACAUUCUAACCCAAAACCUUAAGGCUCAGGUUUAUGGGUCUUCUCCUCACUUAUAUGAUGCUCAACUUUUCCACUUCUACCCAAUGUGGGACUUCACCUCACACUUGUACUCCAACACAUCUCCCCUUCAAGUGUGAAUCUCUUCCACAUGGUAGCCUCCCCCUUGAGGGGAAGUCAUCCACGAGUAUAACCAUUACUCGCACCGCCGCUCCAUCUGUGGGACACGCUGCCUGGACAUACCGCCACACCGCCAUCUUACUCGUUUGAGUCGGUCACAAAGUCGAACCAUUGGCUCUGAUACCAAUUAUUGGAGAAAUUUGAGGGGUACACCUGUGGACCGCGAGCCACCACAUAAGGAAACCUGACACCACAUUCUAACCCAAAACCUUAAGGCUCAAGUUUAUGGGUUUUCUCCUCACUUAUAUGGUGCUCAACCUUUUCACUUCUACCCAAUGUGGGACUUCACCUCACACUGAUACUCCAACAAUAAUGUUAUGAUCAAUGGGCAUUGUAAACAGGACCUGCUUGAUGAAUCAUUGUCCAUGCUGUCAAAAAUGGAAGACAAUGGAUGCAAGGCUAAUGCAGUAACUUUUGAAAUUAUCAUCAGUGCUCUCUUUGAAAAAGAUGAGAAUGAUAAGGUAGAAAAACUUCUUCAUGAAAUGAUUGCUAGAGGCUUGUUGUAAGACUAAACUAUGCGAGAACUUUCGAGUUACACGUGAAAAAGAAGAUGAACAAUGCAAUGGGCUCAAUAUCACUUUACUUUUGAUUAAAGGUGAUAUGUACUUAGCUUCAUUUUUUAUGUUAUAAAUAUAACAAUAGUCAAAUGAGUAUUGUCUUGAUUUAACCAUCCUUUUCCUUCUCAAUGUAUUGUGGAUGCUUGCUUUAAUGAUUUACUCAGUCACUCCUCAUUGUUAGUGUUUAAGUUGUCAAACUAAUCUGAAACUGACAUGAUUGUUUGAAAUGCUUUAUCUCUUAUAGUUGACUUUGUUUACCUAAAAGCAUAGAAAGAAAAAACAUAAGCAUAAGACAAUGCUGUCAUGUAUGAUACAAACAUGACAGUCUUCAGAUGUUAAAUUUGCACAAAGGAGGCGAACAUAUGGUGAAUAGGCCAAACAGUUUGGUGAAGGAUGGAAGUAGACCCAUUGUUUCUAAUGGUUUCUUCAUACAUGGAUUGCCUAGGCCCCUAUUCACAUGUCCAAAUGAAGGAAUUUUAAUUUCUCCUGGAUUAUAUCCGCACUAGGUAAUCACAACAACUCAAAGAAAAGAAGGCUGGUCAAUUCAAAAUCAUAUAUUAGUAACCAUGCAAUUUUAAUGGACUUUGGGCAUAAGCCAAUUUGCUAAAGUCUGAAUUUUUUGUUCCUUUUCGUUUGUGUGCUAAUACUUUCAUAGCAUAUGUGUUAUGUUAGAAAGUCAUCUUAAUUGCAGCCUCUUUGGAGCACCUACACUAUGAUGGGCGUGAGGUGGGGGGGUAAAGUUUAGGCAAUUCUCACCUUAUAAACAGUUUUUCUAGGGCUGAGUUUGACCCUAAGCCCAAAUUCUAAUUCUAAUAUGUUACAUACAAGAUUGUUUGUGUCAGUUUUAUUGCUAUAUGCUAAGUAUCAAUAACUUUAUAUGUUAGCAUGAUUUUAUACUGCUGCAGGAGCUUUUGAUUGGGUUUAUCUCUAGCUAUCUACAUUGUUGAGAGUGGUACAACAUCAUUGCUUAGAAUCAUCAAUGCACCUUUCCAUCACGAGCUCUACUUCGCUGUUGCUAAUCAACCUUGCUUGAUGUUCUAAUUGAUGCAAUGUAUUCAAAGCCUUCCAAUUACAGCCACUUCAUUUGCAGACAUCAAAUUAAAAAAGUUAUGCUAGAAGGAAAAAUAGCAAGCACAAGGUUGGUUUCUGUAUUCUCACACUAGGGUUAGUUGAAGUUGUUAACAGGUAAAUUUAACAGUGAUUUAGUUAGAGAUCCUAACCAAAUUGAAAGAGAGGGAGAAGCCAGAAGGUAUAAAUAAGAGAGGGUUAGAUUGGAUUUGGAUAGUGUUGUUGGUUGGAAAGGAGAGAUAGUACUCCUGGAGGUCUGUGAGUUACUUUUUUUCCAUGUUCCCACUUGAUUCUGCAAUCAUAUUGAUUUAGAUUCAGGGACAAAAGUGAUUUUCAACAUAAGUCCGAUUCUUUACUUUUCUCAUUUGAUUCCUAUUACAGUCAUGGUUGCUUCUGGUCUGUAUAUAUUAGAUUUUUAAUGUAAAACUACACCAGGGCUAAGAAAUACAAGCAUCUAUAUUUCUUCUAAUAUUUAUAUUGAUAUUCUAAAUCUUAAUAAAAUUGAAGAUAUAUCAUGUCGCACUUUGAUUCCUCAGAGAGGAUUGCAGCGGCAAUUUGAAUUUAUAGUGUAGAUAUCGAACAUGUUAAAAGUUGCAUGAGAUUAUCAGGUCAAACUUGCCAGUUUCCACAACAUGUGAAAAAUUGUCACGACAGGAAAGCAAUUCAAAGAUUUUAGUUGUUUUGGAUGAUGAUCCGACAGGAAAACAAACUGUUCAUGAUAUUGAAUAUUUGACAGAAUGGUAAGUUUAUUUCAUUUUCUUCAGUUAUUUCCAAUUUCUUGGCAGAAUCAAUGCAUAUCAUAUUUCAUACAGUACUAUCUCAAACCAAACUACCAAAGCACUGGUUUUUCUUUUAAUUAGUUCUAUUUUUAGUCAAUUUCUCAUUUAAUAAUAAUUUUUCAUCAUGAGAUUGGAAUUGAAAGCAAGAUCUUCCUGAAGAAAAUCUCAAGUUUUAUGUUUCCAUACAGGACCAUUGAGUCACUGAUUGAGCAGUUUAGAAAAAGUCCAAAAUGCUUUUCAUUUUGAAAAAUUCCAGGUCACUCUGAGUUCUGACAAGGUAAAAAAUCUUAGCCCACAUUCACCAACCAAUCCAGGAUUUUUUAUCCAGUUAAACAGGAAAAUAUACUGCUAUUUUGAUCUCUCUUCUGUAAGAAAUCCACUUAUAACCAUGGAUGAAAUUUUGAAGAACUCUAUUUAUAGGUAAAAUAGGCCAAGUGUUUGAGUUACAAAUAGGAAGAGGUGGGGUGGGGGUCAAAUUUUCUUUAUUUUAUUUGUAACAUUUUUAAAGAAAAAGUUAAUAUUUUUUAAUUAAUUACUUUAAUGAUGCUAUUUGUAUUUGGCCAUCACAAUUAAAUUGAAUUACUUACUUUAAUGAUGCUAUUUGUAUUUGGCCACAACAAUUAAAUAAACCUAGCUCCACCAUUUGUCCCAUCGUUGCUCUGCAAACGGAAAAGCAAGCUAUUGAAGUACAAAGAAAAAGUGUCUUCAUUAGUGGCAUGCAAUAUUUGAGCUGAAUAAAGUUUUGAACUGUAAUAGAGGCAACACUUUAAUUAUAAGUAAGUAACAUACCAUAAAUCACCUAAGGAGCUGGAGUUCAAGCUACGGGAUAUUUCAAUAACCAGCAAUAUCAAAUUCUAUCAAGUUCAUAAGUUUAUAGUUGAUCUUUGGCAGGCCAGUGUUAGAUAUUAAUUAGAAAAAUAAUAAUAACAAGUUUUAUGAGCCUUAAAUUGUGGAAGAUGAAAGUUGUAAGGUUGUAAGUUACAAAGUCUUGAAUAAGCAAUUAUGUGAGCAUUUAGUAUUUUUGAAUAAGCAAAUUAUGUGAGUGGUCACUCUAUUUUAGUAUAAAUAGGGGAUCAUACUCUUGUAUUUUGGGUGCCAAAUGAAAUAAAAUUUUCUUCUUCUUCCUACAAAGUGGUAUCAGAGCUUGAGUUCUAGAGUGUUGAGAGAGAAACACUUUGUGAGUUGAGAGAUAGCAAGCAAUGGCUUGAGUAUGUUUCAAUUCCCACGUCUUACCAAAGAGAAUUAUGAUAAUUGGUGUCAUCGCAUGAAAGCCUUGUUAGGUUCUCAAGAUGCAUGGGAGAUUGUAGAGAAAGGUUAUACCCAACCUCAAAAUGAGGCUAUUUUGUCACCAAAUGAGAAAGAGACUUUGUUGAAGUCGAAGAAGAAGGAUCAACAAGCACUUACUUUCAUUCAUCAAGGUUUGGAUGAAGCUAUGUUCGAGUUGGUGUCAAAUGCAACCACAUCCAAAGAAGCAUGGGAGAUUUUGAAAACCUCCCUUGAAGGUGUUGAUAAGGUAAAAAAGGUGCGCCUACAAACUCUACGUAGAGAGUUUGAAUCGUUGCAUAUGAAGGAAUCCGAAUCUAUCUCAGAUUUUGGCAACAAGGUGUUGGCUAUUGUGAACCAAAUGAAGCGUUAUGGAGAAAAUAUGGAAGAUGUUCGUGUGGUGGAAAAGAUCCUUCGCUCCUUAAUCGCUAAAUUUGAUUAUGUGGUUUGUGCUAUUGAAGAGUCUAAGGAUUUAGACUCAAUGACCGUAGACCAAUUGAUGGGUUCUCUUCAAGCCUAUAAAGAAAGGUUUAAUAGAAGAUAUGAUGAGCCAUUGGAGCAACUCCUCAAAGCCAAAGCUUCUUUGAAAGAAAAUGGAGGAGAAAGUAGUCAAAAAGCACGUGGACGUGGAAGAGGACGUGGUCAUGGCCAAGGAAGAGGAGGAAGAGGAGAUCGUGAUAAUUUUGACAAUAAUGAAUGGAGGAGCCAUCAAUCCACUAGAAGUUGUGGAAGAGGAAAAGGAAGAGGUAGAAACAAUUAUGAAAAAGCAUAUGAAAGGAGGUAUGAUAAAUCUAAUGUUGAAUGUUUUAAUUGUCAUAAAUAUGGCCAUUACUCUUGGGAGUGUAGAACAAAUGUUGAAGAGAAGGUCAAUCUUGUUGAUGAUAAAGAAGAUAAAGAAGUUGAAGAGUCAACACUACUACUAUCACUUAAUAAUGGUGAGAAGGAAGACAAAUGCUUAUGGUAUCUUGACAAUGGAGCAAGCAAUCACAUGUGUGGAUGCAAAGAGAAAUUUGUGGAACUUGAUGAGAAGCUGAAAGGAAAUAUUUCUUUUGGAGAUUCUUCCAAGGUGGAAAUCCAAGGAAAAGGUACCAUUUUAAUUUCUUUAAAAGAUGGUGCUCACAAAUUAAUCACGGAUGUUUACUAUAUUCCUAAACUAAAAAGCAAUAUUUUGAGUUUGGGACAACUUGUUGAAAAGGGGUAUGAAAUUCAUAUGAAAGAUUGUUGUUUAUGGCUUCGAGAUCAAAAUUCUAAUUUGAUUGCCAAGGUGUUUAUGUCAAGAAAUAGAAUGUUCACUUUGAACAUUAAAACCAAUGAAGCAAAAUGUUUGAAGGUUAGCAUAAAAGAUGAAUCAUGGUGUUGGCAUAUGAGAUUUGGGCAGUUGAAUUUUGGAGCACUAAAAUCCUUAGGAGAAGAGAAGAUGGUGAAAGGGAUGCCUCACAUCAACCAUCUUAAUCAAUUGUGUGAAGCAUGUCUCCUUGGAAAGCAUGCAAGAAGGAGUUUUCCAAAAGAAGUUAAUUCAAGAGCAAAAGAGCCUCUCCAACUUGUUUACACCGAUGUGUGUGGCCCAAUCAAUCCUCCUUCAUGUGGUAACAAUAAAUAUUUCUUGCUUUUUAUUGAUGAUUAUAGUAGAAAGACUUGGGUUUAUUUUCUAAAGCAAAAAUCUGAGGCAUUUGUAGCUUUUAAAAAUUUUAAAGCUCUUGUGAAAAAGGAGAGUGGUUAUGUAAUCAAGGCUCUAAGAUCCGAUAGAGGUGGCGAAUUCACAUCAAAAGAAUUUAAUGAAUUUUGUGAAAAAUAUGGGAUUCGUCGCCCUCUAACGGUUUAUAGAUCUCCACAACAAAAUGGGGUAGCGGAGAGAAAAAAUAAAACUAUUCUUAAUAUGACUAGAUGUAUGUUGAAGGCUAAAAAUAUGCCAAAGGAAUUUUGGGCCGAAGCUGUUGCAUAUGCCGUUUAUUUGUCCAAUCGCUCCCCAAUAAAGAAUGUCAAAGAUCAAACACCACAAGAAGCAUGGGGUAGAGUGAAGCCAAGAGUUGAUCACUUGAGAGUAUUUGGGAGCAUUGCAUAUGCUCAUGUACCCGACCAAGGAAGAUUCAAGCUUGAUGAUCGGAGUGAGAAACAUGUGUUCAUUGGCUAUGAUGCAAGCUCAAAAGGCUACAAAUUGUACAAUCCAAACAAUGGAAAGACAAUUGUGAGCCGAGAUGUCGAGUUCUAUGAAGAAGGCACAUGGAAUUGGGAGGAGAAAGAAGACACUUAUGAUUUUUUCCCGUACUUUGAAGAAAUAGAUGAAGAAGCCUUGACUCCAAAUGAUUCAACUCCAGCACUUUCACCAACUCCUUCAACCAAUGAAGCCUCAUCAUCUUCCGAAGGGAGUUCAAGUGAAAGGCCAAGAAGGAUGAGAAAUAUUCAAGAAUUAUAUGAUGAAGCUGAAGUUAUAAAUGAUUUGUUUUGUCUUUUUGUUGACAGUGAACCUUUAAACUUUGAUGAAGCAAUGAAAGACAAAAGGUGGAGACAAGCCAUGGAAGAAGAAAUCAAAGCCAUUGAGAAGAACAACACUUGGGAGUUAUCAAGUCUUCCCAAAGGUCAUGAAGCAAUUGGAGUCAAAUGGGUGUUCAAAAUCAAGAAGAAUGCAAAAGGAGAGGUUGAGAGACACAAAGCAAGACUUGUAGCUAAAGGUUAUAAGCAACAAUAUGGAGUUGAUUAUGAUGAAGUGUUUGCACCGGUUGCCCGCAUGGAGACCAUUCGUCUUCUUAUUUCCUUGGCAGCUCAAAUGAAGUGGAGAAUUUUUCAGCUUGAUGUAAAAUCGGCAUUUCUAAAUGGCUAUCUUGAAGAAGAUGUCUAUGUUGAACAACCAAUGGGUUUUGUCAUCGAAGGUCAAGAAGGAAAAGUCUUGAAAUUGAACAAAGCAUUGUAUGGUCUAAAGCAAGCACCGAGGGCAUGGAAUACUUGCAUUGACAAGUACUUCCAAGACAAUGGGUUUGUUCGUUGUCAAAAUGAGUAUGCUCUUUAUGUUAAAACUUUUAAUAAUGGAGAUGUCUUAUUUAUUUGUCUUUAUGUGGAUGACCUUAUCUUUACCGGCAAUAACCCAAAUUUGUUUGAAGACUUCAAGGAGUCCAUGUCUCGUGAAUUUGAUAUGACAGAUAUGGGACUCAUGUCAUAUUACUUGGGAAUGGAAGUGAAGCAAACGGAGAAUGGUAUCUUUGUCUCACAAGAAAGGUACACAAAAGAAGUGUUGAAGAAAUUUAAUAUGCUUGAUUGCAAUCCCGUGAACACACCUAUGGAAGGUGGCUUGAAGUUAUCAAAGUUUGAUGAAGGAGAGAAGGUAGACUCCACGGUCUUCAAGAGUCUUGUGGGGAGUUUAAGCUAUCUAACCAAUACAAGGCCCGAUAUUCUAUAUGCGGUGGGAGUUGUGUGUCGCUUUAUGGAGGCUCCUACCUCUCCUCAUC
rnacentral:lncRNA from 1 species